rnacentral:rRNA from 1 species
UUCGGUCUUUGAGUAGAGCGGCGAACGGGUGCGUAAUACGUGGGCAAUCUGUCCUCAAGAUGGGGAUAACCCAGCGAAAGUUGGGCUAAUACCCGAUAAGACCACGGAAAGCAAUUUUUGAGGUCAAAGGGUGCUUCUUCUAGGUGGCAUUCGCUGGAGGAGGAGCCCGCGUCCUAUCAGCUUGUUGGUAGGGUAACGGCCUACCAAGGCAAAGACGAGUAGCUGGUCUGAGAGGAUGACCAGCCACACGGGGACUGAGACACGGCCCCGACUCCUACGGGAGGCAGCAGUGGGGAAUAUUGGGCAAUGGGGGAAACCCUGACCCAGCGACGCCGCGUGGGUGAUGAAGGCCUUCGGGUCGUAAAGCCUUGUCAAGAGGAACGAAUGCCUCUAAGGCAAAUAGCCUUAGAGGGUGACGGUACCUCUGAAGGAAGCACCGGCCAACUCCGUGCCAGCAGCCGCGGUAAGACGGAGGGUGCAAGCGUUGCUCGGAAUCAUUGGGCGUAAAGGGUGCGUAGGCGGCUUCUUAAGUCUGGCGUGAAAGCCCAGGGCUUAGCCUUGGAAGUGCGCUAGAAACUGAGGAGCUCGAGUGCCGGAGGGGAGAGUGGAAUUCCUGGUGUAGCGGUGAAAUGCGUAGAUAUCAGGAGGAAUACCGGUGGCGAAAGCGACUCUCUGGACGGCAACUGACGCUGAGGCACGAAAGCGUGGGUAGCAAACAGGAUUAGAUACCCUGGUAGUCCACGCCGUAAACGAUGGACACUAGGUGUCGGGGGGUAUCCACUCCCUCGGUGCCGCCGCUAACGCAUUAAGUGUCCCGCCUGGGGAAGUACGG